CAGCCGCCACGGGAAUACGGAGGGGGCUAGCGUUGUUCGGAAUUACUGGGCGUAAAGCGCACGUAGGCGGCUUUGUAAGUCAGAGGUGAAAGCCCGGGGCUCAACCCCGGAAUUGCCUUUGAGACUGCAUCGCUUGAAUCCAGGAGAGGUGAGUGGAAUUCCGAGUGUAGAGGUGAAAUUCGUAGAUAUUCGGAAGAACACCAGUGGCGAAGGCGGCUCACUGGACUGGUAUUGACGCUGAGGUGCGAAAGCGUGGGGAGCAAACAGGAUUAGAUACCCCUGUAGUCCCUGUCUCUUAUAC
rnacentral:rRNA from 1 species